UCUAAAAAGAAUGUACAGUAACUUUUCACAUAUGAAAAGCUACUGUAGCCCCCCAUCUUCAACCAUAUCAUAAUUACCCGCCAUCUCAUCUUCUCCCGCCCUCUCGUUCUUUUCCUUUCCCGUGGCAAUGGCAGAACCAAGAGAGUGGAUGUGAAUGCUCUAAAUACUUCCCCACUCAGAUGCUUUUCACCGCUCAAACCCAAUCGGCAUCGCUCUUUCUUCGUAAUUUUUGGUUGAGUUAAUUGCACGUUUGAUCAAAUGGUUCGUACAUUCUUUCGCAAUUUGUUGAGAUACCUAUCUUCAGAAGAAGAUGAUAGCGAUGAUGAUCUUGAUGAGGAUACAACAAGGAGUGAAAGAGAUCCCCGAAUUGUUUAUCGUUGGAAGGCCAGAUGUGACAAUUGUGGCGUUGGGCAUAUUGUCCUCUAAAGACUGGCAUUUAAGUCCCUUGCAGAGACCCAACAUGUAUCUGAUCAUAAUAAUUUCAUUUCGUGAAAUAAUAAUCUGGAAAUGACAUUUCGAACGUAUUGUUCAUAUGUCAGCAUUCAUAUAUGUGUGACCCUUCAACAUGUGCCUGUUGUUGAUGAAUUCCUCAAUGAUUUAAAGGAUUCAGGGCAAAAUGUAAGUCUCCAAAUUUUCUUGUUUAGAAAACUUUUCAUUUAUUUGGAUUAGGAUCAAAUACAAAGUGGAUAUUACUUGAGAAGGGUACCAAGUGCUUUUGGACCGUUGAUUACACUAUUUCAAUGGUGAAGAUUGAGCGGCAAGAUCGUAAUUAACAGUGAAGGUUAAUGUUGAUUUUUUGUUUUAAAUCUAGCUGCAACGUUUUUCUUUUAAAGUUGUCCUGGCCUGACACAUGAACGAACCGUGUGGUUACAAUUGUGCGUCCUAACCAUUACAACGUCACGUCUAAAACCACCUUUAAUUUAACAGAAGCAUCUACCCAUCACACACAAAAAUCACUCUGUACAAGAACCAGCUUCUAUAUGUAUUUCACCUUGCUGAUAAAUUGUUCGUUAUUUUUUAGGUGAAAAAGAAUCCCGGGCCAAUAAGCGAAGGACUUGCGCCGAUACAUGGUGCGGUCGGGAAGAUUCCGGAUAGAGGUAUGGUUAGUGAAAUACUGGUAGACUACAUGGGCAAUGCAUGCUAAUAUAAUUCUUGGGGUGUUUGGAUCCACUUAUCUGUCAAAAGCUUUCGAAGGAAAGGAUAGUGCACAUUGUGUGUUGAUGAUAUGUAAAUUGUUUUAUACAAGUUUGUAGAUGUACAUGUAAAAGUAAUUCAAAUACCAUCUAUUUUUAACCCUGAAUUUGCAA